rnacentral:lncRNA from 1 species
UUUCAAUAUUGUUAGCACAUUUAACCCAUUCCUAGCUAACAAGGCUUACUAUAUUGAAGUAUAGAAUGUUCUCAAGGAAUAUUGACCAUGAAAAUCUUUUUCAAUAAUUCUCAAUAUAUCAAGCCUAAUGGCCAGAAGGUCAAUCAAUCACUUUCAGAUUUUGGAGACUCAAUUAACAAAAAAUUUACACGUUGGAGCUGAUUAAGGUAUUAAUAACUCUCAUGCUGAUCGCUUCACAUUGUUGCUAUGGAGACUGCUAAGCACAAGUCAAAGCCAUCACUAUUUUUUAGAAGCAUAGAAUAGAGCAAAGUGAUAAAAA